GAGGUUAUAGCUCAGUGGUAGAGCACUUGUCUAGCAUGCAUGAGGCACUGGGUUCAAUUCUCAGCACCACCU
rnacentral:tRNA from 1 species